GUGCUUGCUUUGGUAGCACAUAUACUACAAUUGGAACGAUACAGAGGAAAUUAGCAUGUCCCCUGUGCAAAGAUGACAAGCAAAUUUGUGAAAAUUCCAUAUUCUU